GCCAGGCGUGGUGGCUCACACCUGUAAUCCCAGCACCUUGGGAGGCCGAGGUGGGCGGAUCACCUGAGGUCAGGAGUUCGAGACCAGCCUGGCCAACAUGGUGAAACCCCAUCUCUA
rnacentral:SRP_RNA from 1 species